CCAUCUUUGAGAAGUUUGUUUCUACAAUUGAAGAGGGAAGACAUCUCAGUAGCCGUUGUUUUGGGUUUAAUUUAUUGCUGUUUCUUACGGUGGUUAUAAGGUUAAGUAUUUCAUGCAACCAUUGUUACAACUUUGGGCUUCUUGGAUCUUCUUCUUCUUUUGGUCUUUUCUUAGUAUCUUUGUUUCAUCUUCACUGCUUCACAUUUAUCAUUCUCAAAUUUUCUUUUAUUGAAAUGUUGAAAGGUAGGACAGCAUCUCAGAAGCAAGUGUUUGUUUGGGUAUUAUUGUAAUCAGAGAUCUCUGAAUUCUAUCUAAGUCGUAUUAGUGUUGGGAGAAGAAAGAGGAAUGUUAGUAGCUAUGAGGAAGAGAGCCAACUGCUAGCUCCAUCUUGUUUUCUUCGUUUUCUUACCAAACAAAUGUGUGUUAGGUCACGGCCUCAGGGGGUGUGGGAAAAAGAUAAAAACUAAAAGAGAUGAAACAGCUGAGCAAACCCGUCAAUACCCCCAUUGCGAAAACGAGAGAACGUAAUGGAGUUAAAGAUCCAUUCGUCGGAGCUUCACAAGAGGGUCGGCUUCGCUUCCCAUUGGCAGAGGAACAGAAACAGAGGAGGCUUAAUGAAGCAGAUCUGGAAUUCGGCCAAAAGAUGGCAUAGUCCUAGCUAAAAUUAGAUGAGUUGGGGCCCUUGGCGACCUCGGAAAGCUUGUUUUUUACAAAUUAUCCCCAGCCAGCUUCCAACAGCGGAAAGCAGUCCUUCAGAAGCUACUGUAAUCGAAGUCUCAAGCACCCAUGACGGCAAAGAUCAUGGCGUUAUAUAUCCUCACCGUUCCAAAACCCUUGACCCAAUCUGGCAUAUUAUCUUUUGAUCUGGAUUCCUUGUUCAUUGCUUUUUAUUUAUCAUUCAUAAACAAGUGUUUUUAUAGGAUUUAUUGCUUCUUUCCAUAAUUCAGUAUCAUGAAUAUAUUCUAAAAGCUUAGGGACUUUGGUUACUUCCUGUUGUUCUCUUUUUUUUUUUUUAAUAACGUUUUUCAUCUCUAUUUCAUCUAUUUUCGUGUUCAUUGCAUCAUAUUUAUCAUCCUGAAUUUUUCUUUAUUAGAGUGUUGAGAGAAAGGACAAUAUCUCAGGAGCAACUGUUUUUUGGGGUUUUAUAUUCAGGUAAGUAUCGGAAUCUAUUCUUAAGUCUACUUAUGGAUCUUCACUUGUUUCUCUUAUUCUUAUGGUUUUUUUCCUUUUGAUAUCUAUUUCAUUCACUACUUCAUAUUUUUUAUCCUAAAAUUUUUCUUUAUUAGAGUGUUGAGAGGAAGGACAUCAUCUUAAGAACAAGUAUCUUUUGUCUUUAAUUUAUUGCUCAUUUUCAUAAUCAGGUACAUAUCAUGAAUCCAUUCUUAAAGCUUAGGGGCCCUGGUUUCUUCUUGUUGUUUUAUAUUCCUGCUUCAUAUUUAUCAUUCUUAAUUUUUAUUAUUAGAAUGUUGAGAGAAAGGAAGAGAUCUCAAAAGCAAAAAAAAAAUGGGGUUUUAAAGCUCCUUCUCCCCAUAAUCAAGAAAGUGCCAUGCAUCUAUUCUUAUAGCUCUGGGGUCCUAAUUUCUUCCUCUUAAACUUAUGGUUUUCUCUUUUAAUCUCUAUUUCAUGUUCACUACUUUAUAUUUAUUAUUAUAAUUUUCUUUUUUCAAUCAGAGUGUUAAGAGGAAAGACGACAACUUAGAAGCAAUUGUUUUUCGGACUUGAUUAAUUGCUCAUUCUUCCUCCUAAACGGUAGAGUGUUGAGAGGAAAGACGACAUUUUGAAGCAAGUGUUUUUUGGGUUUCAUUACUCAUUCAUUUAAUCAGGUAAGCUCCUUGCAUCUAUUUCUUAUAGCUUAGCAGCCUUGGCUUCUUCCCCUAGCGUUGAUUGUAAAAGAUGUAAAAUAGAAAUUUAUAACAAAGCAGCUAGCUAAGACCAAAGAUAGUAGCAAAAACA